CCGGGGCCGCAGGGAGAAGACUGGGCGGCUGUAUUGACUGCCGGGUGUAGGCGGAGCGAAGGGCGCCCAGGCCGGUGCGGAGGGCAGGAAGUGCGGAUGUGCGCCUGCGCAUAGGUCGGGUCGGAGGUGUCCCUGCUUUCGCUUCUGCUAGACUCAGUCCUCACGGUGACGCCUUUCCCCAGCUUUUCCGAAUGGAGUCUUGCUGUGCUGCCCAGGCUGGAGUGCAGUGGCAUGAUCUCAGCUCACUGCAUCCUCCACCUCCCGGGUUCAAGUGAUUCUCCUGCCUCAGCCUCCGGAGUGGCUGGAAUUAGAGGUAAUCAAGUAAAAAGUAUGAGCCUCAUCUGUGGAUUGCAGUCUGCUGUUAGAAACCAUGUUUUCUUCCGGUUUAACUCACUGGCUAACUGGAGAAAAUGUAACACGUUAGCAUCAACCUCACAGGGCUGUCAUCAAGUACGAGUUCACCAUAUAGUAAAUAAGUCUCAGGGACUGGGAGUAAAUCAGUGUGAUAGGUGGACUUUUCUGCCUGGAAACUUUCAUUUUUAUAGGACUUUUAACAACAAAAAAACAGGAUGUCUCUCAAGUACCAAAAGUAAGGAAAUUUGGAUGAAUGCCAGCAAAUAUACUGUAUGGAAGGACUCUUUUUCAAGGCAGCUAUUAAUAAAAAAAGUUACAGCAGUUCCUAGUCUGUUAGUAUUGCAUCCUCUAAGCCCUUCUCCUCUAAGAGCUGUUAGGAAUUUCCACACCUCUCCACGGUUUCAAGCUGCUCCAGUUCCUCUCUUGUUGAUGAUUCUUAAACCAUUGCAGAAGUUACUUGCAAUCAUUGUAGGCAGGGGCAUAAGGAAAUGGUGGCAGGCACUUCCUCCUAACAAGAAGGAACUAUUUAAAGAUAGUAUAAGGAAGAAUAAAUGGAAGCUAGUCCUUGGUUUGAGUAGUUUUGGAUUGCUCUUUAUGGUGUUUUAUUUUACUCACCUGGAAGUAAGUCCAAUCACAGGAAGAAGCAAGCUGCUAUUAUUGGGGAAAGAGCAGUUCAGACUUCUAUCAGAACUGGAAUAUGAAGCAUGGAUGGAAGAAUUUAAAAAUCAUAUGCUGACUGAGAAAGAUGCCCGAUACCUGGCUGUUAAAGAAGUGCUUUGUCAUCUAAUCGAAUCCAAUAAAGAUGUUCCAGGGAUCUCUCAGAUCAAUUGGACUGUUCAUGUGGUUGAUUCCCCAGUUAUUAAUGCCUUUGUGCUUCCAAAUGGACAAAUGUUUGUUUUCACUGGAUUUUUAAAUAGUGUAACCGAUAUUCAUCAACUUUCUUUCCUUCUGGGCCAUGAAAUAGCACAUGCAGUACUUGGGCAUGCCGCAGAAAAGGCUGGCAUGGUUCAUUUAUUGGACUUCCUAGGUAUGAUUUUCCUCACAAUGAUUUGGGCCAUUUGUCCUCGAGAUAGUUUGGCCCUUUUGGGCCAGUGGAUACAGUCUAAAUUGCAAGAGUAUAUGUUUAAUAGACCAUACAGCAGAAAAUUGGAGGCUGAAGCUGACAAAAUUGGACUAUUGCUUGCUGCAAAGGCUUGUGUGGACAUAAGAGCUAGUUCAGUGUUUUGGCAGCAAAUGGAGUUUGUCGAUAGCCUGCAUGGCCAACCCAAGAUGCCAGAAUGGUUAUCUACACACCCUUCUCAUGGCAAUCGAGUUGAGCACUUGGAUAGACUUAUACCUCAGUCUUUCGCAGAUGUUCCCUGUUGAUGUCAAGAUGGCUGCUGGUGCUCCCAGGAUUGCAUGUUUUCACAUCCAGCUGGAUGAGUGACUGACUCACACCCCAACUAUUGAAACAAAGCCUUUUACACUAACUGCACCCCUGAAGCAAUCACCAUGGCAGGGGAUGGCAUUAUUUUGAUUGGCUUGGACCUAUCCAGAUCCAACCCUGGAGCUGAGGAUGGGUACGACUCAACACCACCCAAACAGAAUGGCUACUCCAUGGUGGGAGAGAUGCAACCACAGGGCUUAUGAAAUAGAGGAUGCAUGAAUGAAAGAAGGUCCACCAGGAAGAAUGUGUCUGCUUCCUCUCUGCUCAUACGCAGUGUAACGGCCAUGGAGGGGCAUCACUCAGAUCACUCCUCAAGAGAACCCUCUGUGGCGUGCAUAACUGACAAAUGCUCCAGUUGCCACACCUUCAUAUCCACAGUAACUGGGCGAAGAGUUGGGCAUUAUCCUCACAACUUGGAGAGUUCGGCAUUAUCACUGCUUUUCGCAGAUAAGGAAACUAAGGGUCAGCAAAUUUGUAUCUGCAUCAAACAAGGCAAGCUGCGGACCUGCUGAGGCCACUCACUCAGGUAUUCAUAUAUUCAUUCACUCAACAACACCUGCAUUCCAGGCACUGCUACGCCAGGUACUGGGAUACAGUGAUGAAUGGCUCAGACUGAGACCCACCCCAAGGAGCACCCCAGCUAGUGAGGGCUCAGAUGCACAAGCACCGCUACCCUUACAGUCACAGACUGGUUCUGUGACAGGUGCUGGUCAACGGGGCUGUGGUGGCACAAGGAAGAAAAACAUCACCAGUGCUGAAUGUUAAGGCUUCCUGGAAGAAUGACCUCCAGAUGAAACCCAGGUGAAGGUAGGUGGAGGGAAGACAGGAGGGUGUUUGGCAGGGGAGGAGGAUUAUCCCUUUCAUGAAAGAGCAUCCUUUCUGAGACCUGAUGAAAGAGCACAGUGUCAGGGCUUCCCGUGACAGCCAAUAGUGCAUUCUCUCAGAGUAUCCCAUUCAUCUGCCUUCCAGGCUCCAAGUCCUUGUCUUCAGGGACCACCCCUGGGCCCCCACAUUGCUUCCACACAGACCUACCCACCCCAUCUGUAUUAGUCCAGGUCCUCUGAGAAAGCAGAAACAAGACAGGAUUAAACAUGCAAGAAAUCUGUUGGAGGAAAUGCUUGUGGGAAAAAAUGAAGAGGCCAGGGGAGGCUGGAAAAGCCACAAGUUCACAACGCAGGCCUGACUCCCUGUGAAGGAGCAAAGGAGGGGAGGGAGGGAUGAGGGAAGCGUUUUUAGACAAUCCUAAGGAAACUUUGACAAGGCUGGGAGUCCUGGAGCCAUGGUUGCCCAAGAGAGGAGUCCCAAGUCUCCAGGAAGGGCCCUUCCUCAGCAUCCCUGCCCUGCUCCUCCAUUGGCUGGGGGUGGCCAGGGGUAGUCAGGAUGCAGUUUGUGCUGGAUUUUGGAAAGCAGUUGUGGGGACCACUGGGCAGUCAUGCUCCCUGAAGCUUGGUAUCUGAGAGGAAUAUUCUCCAUGGCCAACAUACUGCCCUAGGUUUGAUAUACCCCCAAAUCUGGCUUCAGCUUCAGCCCCUCUUCCUGGAUUCUGCCAAGAGAAACAGUCCUGAGCAAAGAUGGCAUUGGGCAGUGAUGAAGGGCACAGCUUCACAGCAGCCCCCAUUUCUGCCACUGACCAUGGGUGCUGCAGGUAAGGCAUUGAGCCCCCCCAGUUUCCUUGUGGGAAAGUGUGGAUAAUAACAGUUCCUGUCUCCUAAGGUUGUUACAGAAGUACUUGAAUUAAAAUGCAUGGUAAGUGCCCAAUAAAUGAUAUCUAUUAUUAUUUUAAUGGAUCCAUUUUUGAUUUAGGGACCAUUUCAAUGCAUUGGUUUGAUGGGGCUACAUCAGAAUGUGAAAGCCUUGCAUUCCCACCACUGCUGUGUGCCAGAUAUACCUGCAUCUCACUCUCCUGAAUGCUUCACCAUCUUUCCAUGAAGCUGCUCCUGACCUUGAGGUUUGGUUUUGGGUCCUCCUCUGAACCUGUAGCUUCCUUUUCCCACAGAACUUUUUACAAUGAUUAGUUGCAUGUUUUGUUGUUGUUUUCAUUUCUUGAAAUAAACUGAGAAUUCCUGUUGGGGUGAGGACGAUGUCCUAUUUCCUGCCACAUCAUCAGUGCCUACAUGUUGGCUGACUCCUGCCCUAGCCAGGCUCAAACCCAGGGCUUCUCUCUAGGGUCAUGCAGGGUGCUUGUCUGAGAGGAGAGGAGGGCUGCAGUCCACCUUGUGGCAGGGGCCCAGUGGUGUGCUCAGGGGCUGUGCCUGCCUGAAGUUUCCAUUCAUACAGCAUUGCUUAAAGCUUGUCAUAUGAGCCUCUGAUAGACUGCAUCUGUCCAGAGGAAGGGCCUUUUCUUAUUUGAGAAAGAUACUAUAUUGGUUAACAACAGCUCUGCCAAUAAGCCAGGCCGAGAAUGUGUGCAAAAGCACCAGCACGAUGUCUCACACUGUGUCAGCUACUCCUGCAAACUUCUGGAAAGGCUUUGAUGAGCAUUUCUGAGUGUUUCUGCCUUAGCAAUAUGAUGGGUUAGAUUCAAUCACAGUCUCAUACUGUGGCUUGAUCUCAGCUCACUGCAACCUCCACCUCCCGAGUUCAAGUGAUUCUCCUGCCUCAGCCUCCCAAGUAGCUGGGACUACAGGCACCCACCACAACGCCUGGAUAAUUUUUGUAUUUUUAGUAGAGACCAGGUUUCACCAUAUUGGUCAGGCUGGUCUCAAACUCCUGACCUUGUGAUCUGCCCACCUUGGCCUCCCAAAGUGCUGGGAUUACAGGCAUGAGCCACCACGCCCAGCGUUAGAUUCAUGUUUCUAAGCUCCUCUCCUGCCCUGACAUUCAGUGAUUAGAGGAAGCCUGGUGUUCGAAAAGCGCUGAGGUGUGAGGAUGAGGACUGCCCUAAAUGGAGUUCAGAAUGGUCGCAUCCUCUCCUGGGCUAUAGUUAGCCUUGCCCAUCACCCUUGUCAGCUCUUGCCUCCUCCUCCAAGGAGCCUGCCUGAGCAAGCCCACAUCCAUUGUAUUUGCUUUGUACUUUAUAUUUUAUUAGGUGACUUUGAUAUGUUACUUCCUUUAAUUCUCAAGCAACCUAGUGCUAGGUCUUGGUGUUAUAUUGGUGUUAUAUCUGAUAGAUGAGGGAAAAGGAACUCAGAGAAGUUAAGUAACAUUCACAAGGCCACACAGCUAGUACAAGGGCCAAGUUCAGGCUUGAACACAAAUCUAGGCAGAAGAAUUCCUACCCACCUUAUUUAUGCUGCUUAUAAUGUUUCUCUGCAUUGCAUAUUUCUGGCCCCAUUUAGAAUAUGAAAACCUCAAGGACAAGGGACAUGAUUCUGCUUCAUUCCAUUCUCUCCUGAACGCAUCAUGCACAUGGUAAGCGCUGUCUAAAUGCUGUCUGAGUAACAGUGGAAAUCCUUGAGAUGCAAUCGCGUCAUAUGUCAAGCCCUGGUAAGGACCUGUACAAACACAGACCUCAGCGUAUGCAUGACAAUACACACAUUGAUGUCUUCCAUGCAUACACAUGGUGCAGCUGGUAUGAUACCUUUAAGAAAACAUCUCUAAUUAAACAACAAAAAUGUUAUUCUGCCUGUGCCUGCUUAGCAACUGUGGUUUGGUGGCCAGAGCAUUUGCUUCCACAUUUCUGCAGUGUGCUCUUCCCUGCUGGUCAACUCUCCUCCUCACAGCCCAGGCUCUGCACCUCCUGUCAUUUAGUAUCUGGUCUUCCUUGACCCCUCUGGCUGGAUGCAGGAUCCAUUUGCUUGGACCUGUGAGCUCAGCUUCCCUCAUGCAAACCUUCCCGUCUCUUCCUAGCUUUGGGUCAUUCACCCACAGUCUUGGAGACCCAGCUCCACAGAUGGUCCCAGUGGACAGCCCCACAGCUUGUCUCAGAUUCUCAGGCUCUACUGAAACACAUCGCAAGGAUGUGUACAGACUCAUAUACCUGUGAAGCCAGGGACUUAUACACAUGGGUCCACGUGGCCAUCCAGGUAUGUACAUAUCCACCAGACCAAGUGCAGAGACACAGUUGAACAUUUUUGCCCAUGGAGGCAGAACCAGUGUCCACAUGCAAACCCAUUUAUGCAUGCAGGAAUGUGCCCAGGUCAUAGAUACAUGUACACACAUACUCAAGUAUGCAUACAACCUUAUGCAUAUAAGACUCAGUAUGUGAGUGUACAUCCCCUUAGAAUAUGGAUACCAGUGUAGGCAAACACCAUAUGCCUUGAACAUGAAGAUUUACACACAGCCAUGCAAGGGCCAAAAAGGCAUCCUUAGCCUCCUUCUCCCCAGGGUGCCACACUCAAACAGAUUUCAUCACAGAUCACGGCCUUUCAAAGACACAGGUUCACACCUUCUCCUUGGAGCCAGCUCUUCCUUUGUCAAGUUGUCUGGCCCUAGGAAGGUGAUGGAGCUUAUAUCUGGGAGUCCCCAGGCACUCAUAUGACGACCUGUCACCUCUCCACUCAGCUACUCCUCUCACCAGGAACUCUCUGCUCUCAGUGGGGAAGGCACUAAGGCUCAAGGUAAUUAAAUCUCUCUCUUUUCGCUUCGGCAACAUUGAUCUGUUCAGGGCCACACUCUGACUCCGAAGGAACAAAGCUUUCAAUUUCUUGGCUGGAAUACACUGUUCUUAGACUUGUUUCAUAUGUGAGACAGGAGUGAAAAUUAGAGCAUACAUUCUCAUCUUCAGAGCAUGAUGUUGCUUAUGAGGCACUUUUUCACCAUUUCAUUUGAGUCUUACAAUCAUCCUAUGGGGUAGAUCGUACAUAAACUGCCCCCAUUUUACAGACAAGGAAAUUGAGGUUACAACAACAAGGGCAACAGUUGUCUCUGACUUCCUGUGAUGUGUCAGGCACUGUUUUAAGGCCGUACAUGUUUCAGUUUUUUCAGUCCUUACGAUAACACUCAGAGGUAUGUCUGUCUUCACCCCUACUUUACAGAGGAGGAAACUGAAGCACAUAAGGUCAUAUUAACAGCCUGAGAUUUUCCACUUAGGAAGCAGUCUAGCUAAGCCAUAUGCUGUUGAAGUUAAAGGGAUUUAAUGCGGGAUAUUUGUCUUCUGGGUGAAAAUCUAAAGCAGUGGCUCCCCGUAUUCCGACUACCGAUGACCACAUAUCUGAUUUUCUUACAUCAUUAACUCCACCCUUGAAAGAUUUCCUCCAAUACAAACACUGUAUUCAUUAAGAAAUAACCUGUAUUGUGCCAUUUUAAUGAGACUUUUGAAGUUUUAAGAAUAGCUUGGGGGUACCCUGAACCUCUAAAAAUUGCUACUGGUUGAGAUGCCUUGGGAUUGAGGGUAUCCAGACUGACACCUGGAAUACAGAAAAGAAUUUAGUUAAGGUACCUUCUCAGAUCAACCCUGGUGCCAAUCCUGGCUCUACCAAUUAUCCCCUGGGUCCUUGGUAAGCAACAUCACCCCUCUCAGCCUCAGUUUGUUUGCCUGCAAUGUCAGAAGGAAAUAAUAGCACCCAGACUGUAAUGUUCAAGGGAUAGCAGCAUGAUUCUGGCUGUCCCACAAUUCCUUGGAGUGAGGAGAGAAAUAUUUGUAAUUGUCAGAAACAUGAUACAACUGGCAGAAGUAUAUGAAAUCAGUUACAUAGAUUGUGAACUACAUGUCAAAGUUCUAUUUGUCCUGAGACAGGGUGAAAAUCAGUGCAUUUCUCAUCAGGAUAGAAAAUAUAAACAGAAAAAAAUCAGAGCCUCUGGGAAUAAUUCAGCCACAGAGAGAGUUCACUCUUUGGGGUGCUCACAGAACUACCAUUGUUCAUCUCCACACUUGCUGGCUUUGCAUCCUUUGAGGUGUACCUUUCUGACCCUUUUUUAGCUGCUUAGUAGGUUAGUUGGGGUUGACUGUGGUUUUGUCCUUGGCUAUUGUGAUUAUGUGAAAACAGCUUCAGACAUAUUUUUUUCUUGCUUUCUCCUGGGCCAUUCCUGAGUUGCGCUGGCCCUCCAAAGCCUUCAUCCCUUCUGUGUCUCCAUCUUUGCUUUCUCCCUUCUAACUACCCUUUCCUUUUCCUUCCUUUUAAUACCUUCAAAAGAAUGAGAGCAAGUUUCAAUCACAUUAAAAGGAAAAACUAGACUCUAAGGCAGUGGUCUUCACUCGUUUUUGGUCAUAUUCCUCUACUGGCUGUAAAGAGUUUGAGCUUCUACUACCAAUGUAUCUAUAUGUCGUUAUUAACACAGUACAUAGUUAACUUCUGUACUAAUAUUUUAUUUCUAAAGCAUACAUAAGUGGACAUUUUUAAGAUGGAGAUUUUUUAAAGCAUGAGAUAAAAAUAGUAAUUUAAAAUUAUUAAUGAAAGAAAAAUGCUUGCUCAUACUAAAAUAUUAUGUUUUUGAAAACCUGCAUUCCACACUUUCUGAAACAAUUAUUUGAAAAUCUAGUCCCGAGUUCAAUGCAUACCAAAGGCUGAGUUUAGUUAUUGUCUUAGCUGUAAGAAACUAGUUUAUUCACAGAAAACGAGUUUCAUCACAGAAAGGGUGAGGAAACUGUGAACCGAUGUCUUUUUGAAAGACAAUUACCUUUUUUAUCUUUAUGUUGAGAUAACUCUUUUAAGUACCCAGUCAGCUGGGAUAACCAGUGAACCUCCAUCUGGUACAGAAGGUUUUCAUGAUUUCUUCUCAGUUCUAGUAUUUUAAAUAAUAUAAUCUGUAACUCUACUUAACUGGGCACAAGUCAACCCUAAUCAACCAUAAAAUGUUGAAAGCCAAACAUGGAGUGAGAUUGUCCUGAGUGACUCAUCUGCACUAUGGGGCACUUACACUUUCUCCAGGAUCUCUCACUAACAGUAGGUGAAAAAUACUGAGCAUUAAUUUUCAUCUGUAAAUUGCAUCUUGGUAAACCUUCAUAGUCUUUAAAUUUAAAUAUCUAAAUUGGAAGGCCAAUACAUUUUCGCCUGUAUCUUCCAUGAAUCAUUAUACACACUGUCUGGGUAGGUCAACAGAGUUUGGAGCUGGAGAACAAUGAGAUUCAGGACUACAGACAGCUACACACAUGCGUGGGAGGGGACCCCCUUUCUAAUAAUCUGGCUGUGACACCUAUCUGAUAAAAUAGUCAUGAGAAAUAAAUAAAAUGGCACAGUAAGUGUUCAAUAACUAUUCCUUUCUUCCUCUCCUUCUCACUAUUCAACCUGAUGCCAAGUGAAGGAAAGGAAACAGGAAUUCAGGACCAGAUAUUCUGGCCAGAAGUAAAAAAGAAUGUAAUUUUGGAAAUGUUUCUCAGUAGCUGUGUUUCUGGUGCUCACCUCUCCAAACACAACACCCCAAUUAGAAGAAAGGUUGUGUGGGUACUGAGUGUCAUAUCCUGUUAAAAUACCGAUCAUGCACCCUCCUUCCCUGCCCAGUCCCAUAUGUAUGCAUCUCUACCACAGAUAUGUCCUACUGGUGCAAAUUUCCUCAUCUGAUAGGGUUGGGCAUCUUAAUACCCUCUGGAUCUGACCCAGAGCUCCUGGAUAGUAAAAUGGUAUAUAUAUGCCUAGACUUUGUGCUUCAUCUCUGGUGGAUUCAUCCAUGCUCUCUGUUCAAAGGGAGCUCUGGGUACUUUUCCCAGUUCAUAUUUGUGGUAGUUUUAACAUAUGUUCACAAAUUCUUUGAUAUACUUCCGUUCAAGAUGUGGAGUGUAAAUUCUCUCUUAGACUAGGUUGAACUGGACUUUGUGACUUGGUUCUUUUUCUGAUUUUGAGACACAGUCACACUCUGCCACCAAGGCCGUAGUGCAGCGGCAUGAUCUCAGCUCACUGCCACCUCCACCUCCUGGGUUCAAGCAAUUCUCCUGCCUUAGCCUCUUGAAUAGCUGAGAUUACAGGCAUAUGCCACCAUGCCCGGCUUAUUUUUGUAGUCUUAGUAGAGAAGGGGUCUCGCCAUUUUGACCAGACUGGUCUCGAACUCCUGAGCUCAAGUGAUCCACCUGCCUUGGCCUCACAAAGUGCUGGGAUUAGAGGCAUGAACCACUGUACCCAGCCUGCAAACCAUAUUCUUUUAACCACUUUGUUAUCUGUAGCUUUGAUCCUGGUACCUUUCAGUUGCUUACAGAUUUUGGAGUAGAACAAACCUGGGUUCAAAUCCUGGCUCUAAAUUGACCAGCUGAUCACUGUUUACUUCCCUCUAAAACAGGGAAAACAACACCCAUCUCAAAAGGAUCUAUGAGGGGUAGAGGCAAGAAUAUACAGAAAGUGUCUGCCUGUCCCACUAGACCAUUGCUGUCUGAUAGAACAUUCUGUGACAAUGGAACUGUUUCCUAUCUAUCCAAUAUGGCAGCCACUAGCCACAUGUGGCUAAUUGAGCACUUGAAAUGUGGCUAGUACAAAUGAGAAACUGAAUUUUUAAUUAUAUGUAAUUUAGACCAAUUUGCAUUUACGAAGCCACCUGAAUCUUGUGACCACUGUAUUGGGUAGCACUAGACCCUAUGCUCUAGGAAGACAGGAGCCAUGCCUGUUUGGAUCACAUGGCAUAUUCAGCACUUAGUACAGUUCUUGACACAAAUGAGUUACUUGUAAUCAAUUGUUGAAUGAAUUAAUGUAUGAAUGAGUGAAUGGUCCAUCAUGGGCUUUCAAUGAAUAGCAUGUAUCAGCCAGGCAGAGCACUGAUGUGUAGCGGACUCUUCUUGCCUUUUCUCCCCACCAUUCCCCGUCAACAACAGCCAAUUAUGUUCUCCUGCAGAAAUGUCAUGUGAGCACCAGGAAUUGGACAGAGACUAAACUUCAGGUGACUGGGGAGACAGAGGGAAAUAAAAGAAGACCCCUACAUCUUUAAUGGGCCACAUAGGACAGGAUGACCCCACUCCCACUCCAAGACUGACUAGGAAGUUUGUCUGUAACAGAGACGGUUGAAUAAACGAUGAGACUCCAUGACAGCAAGGCCAGAGCAGCCCUAAAUGUCACCUUCGUUAUUUUUCAAGCCAACACGAUGAACUGCCUUCCCCAUUGGCUUCCAUGUUGUUAUUGCUCUGCCUCAGGGUUGAGGGAUUUUUUUUCCCUAAUCUCUACAACAUGUACUAUGUAAGUUCGGCAAGGGCAGGAGGUGAGAUGGCACAGGCCACUUAAUAAAGGGUUUGGCUGUCACGGAGAUGCAGCCAUUGGGCAGACAUGAGGAGGUGGCCAGCUGGGACUCCUCUGCUUAGUACCUACCUGAAAUAUGGUGCCUAUCUUUCCAGACUUGGGAGUGAGAGAGCAGUGUCUGACUCUCAGAUGGUUUUCCUCACUACUUCUUGGAUCAAUAUUCUAGUCUAAAACAGAAUGUGACCUGGCUGGGAAGAAUGAAUUCUGGGCCGAGGGCCAGGAGAGGCAAGUUGGAGUCUGGACUCUGACAUUACUGAUAUGGGUGACCUGUGACAAUUCACUUCCAAUCCUAGGACCUCGAGUUUCUACUGUGCAAAAUGAGAGGAGAUGGAGCAGGGCAACCUUUAAGACCCCUUUAAGCUGUAAGCUUGCAGUGGAAGAAAGGAUGGAUUUUGUCAUCAUAUAGCCUAAUGUUGAAACCCUGGCUCUGCUCCUUCUGAGAUGAUUCUUAGCCUCUCUGAGAUAAUAAUAAUAAUAGAACCUUAAAGGUUAAAUGAGAAUUAAAUGUACGAAUUAAAUGAGAUAUUGAAUUCCAGGGGUCUCAACCCUGUAUGCAUAUUAAAAUCACCUGGAAUGUUUUUCAAAAAUACCAAUGCCCAUAACUUCACCUCCAGAGAUAUUAAUUGUCUAAAGUAAUAUCCGAGUGCUAGCAUUUUAACAGUGAGCUCCUCAGUUAUUUCUGAGCCAUACUUAAGGCCUAAUUUGAGGUGGUAGAGCUUAUAUGUAGCUGGAGUUUCGUAAGUAUUUGGUGACUCAGUGGAUAUUCUAAAAAUCAUUUGUGUCAUCAACUUUUUGCAAACCUUGCUCUCUGGCCCUUAGUUAAAUAUGCCAAAACCCAGCUACAGGCUUGCCAAAUACAAACCCCCACUGAUCCUUUCUUCCUUCUUCCCUGCUCCCUCAGCCUUCCCCAGUCCUCACACUCCUCCAUUGCCACAUCCCUCCUGUUCAUGCCUCCUUCCACUCCCACCCUUGCCUGCUCUGCUUUGGACCAUAGUUAUUGCACUUCUGAGUUAUUUCCUUAGAAAGAACCUAUUUCAUCACCUUCCUACUUCUAGUAUUCAACUGGCACACCCCCUUCUCAGACAAAUCAGUAAAACGUAGUGAUGAUGAGAGUAGAGUCUGUAGCCAGACAAUCCGGAUUCUAAUCCCACACUGAGCUGUGUGACCUGGGAUGAUUUUCAUGACCUCUCUGUACUUCAGUUCCCUCUUAUGUGUAUGGGAAUCCCCCAUCAUCCCAGUCUUUGAAAUCAGUUAUUCUCCCCCACUUGACCCUCCUUUACAGUGUUACCGUGAAUUCAGGGAAGAAAAAAAAAUUGAGAUUUCAAGUACUGAGCAUAGUACUGAAUGCUUUCCAUACCUUAUGUAAUUUCAUCUCCACAAAACUAAGCAAGGUAGAUGUCUGUUUUAUAGAUGAUGCAAGUGAGGCACAGACAAGUGAGGUAGUCUGCCCACUCUCAGAUGGUGAGUGGAGGUAGAGCUAGGGUCCUGCCCUGGGCUGACUCAGAGCCCCGCUGCAUGUGUGCCCCUGACUGAUGAAGACUAUUCCUUUGGGGACAUUUUUCUGCUCUGAUUAACCUCACAGCUCUGGGAGUGAUGCUUAUAGAUGGGGAGGAAGGAGAGAAGGAGACACCCACCCACAGAAUCAUAAUCAACCAUCCAAUGGGUGACAGAUAUCCAAUGAGAGGAUAUAUUUGUGCCUUUUUGUUUUUAAAGGAAAGGCAGUAGGAGGGAAUAGUGCACUGAAGUAACCAGCCUAAGAUUUGCCAACAAAUUUGUGAAGAAUUAAAUGGAGUAACAUUCAUUCGUUUGUGUAUCCCUUUGUAGUGAUAGAAAAGAAAAACAGUCAAUUCCCAAUGAACUCUGAAGUUCAUUGAGCAUAAUUCAGUAGGUGUUUACUAAAUCGCACCUCCCCACCCCUCUGCCUUCCUCCUGACCACUUCAUUUCUAGUUGUGCCAAGUUCCACUGGCCAGUGCCUGCAUGUCUCUGCUGAGGACUAUCUCUGACUGCAGCAGCAUGCUAUGCCUGUCCCAGUGGUGGGCCUGCAAUCUAGGGUAUUAAGGCCACCCAGAAGCACAUUUCCCGGAUGGCUGACAGGUGUUGGUGAGUAACCACACCAGCUCCCUCGCCCUGUGGAGGGAAGACUCUGCAGUGUGUAUCCUGCACUCCCAGGGCCUUCUCAGUGGGGUUAAGCUCCAGUUGCCCACAAGUCGUAGCUGGGUUUUAAAUGCAUCAGCCCUUGGCUGCCUUUCCUUCCCCCUCCCAUGCUCCUGUUCCCCUGUGGGUGUUUCCCGAGUUCCUUUCCCAGUUGAACUACUUGCCCUUGCUCAGAGUAGCUUCUGGAAGAACUCAAAUGUAAACACUUCCUCAGAACUGUGCAAGGUGGUAGGAAAGCAGAUGGAAAAGAUAUUCUCCUUAAAGAGCUCAUGAGCUGGAGAGAAAAUGCAUGAAUGCAGUUUUGGAUGGUACAAGUCACCGCUAAGUGACCUGGAGACAGCACAAGGGCAGGUCAGGCUAAAUCUGCUCUUCGGGUGGUAGGAGAAGGCAGGGAUUUCAGUUUUACAGAAAAAAUAAAUAUUCAAAGGUAGGCAGAGUGUGUGACCACAUAUUUUCUUUCCUGAGAAAGGAGAAAAGCACUUUGCUAUCACAAACUGGGUCUGGAGAAUUGUUUUGUCUGGGAGCAGGUGGAACUGAUGAAAUCUCAGAGAGGCCAGAGCAGAGUGGACAAGGCAGCCGCCUCUCAAUCAAGCCCUGGGUGAGGAGGGAGGGUCCCCAGGUCGUGGGGAGCAGGGGGAGGCUGACGCUACUUAGAAAGCAAGGAAGUAUGGCCCUCGGAUGGGUGUUCCUUUCCUUGCCUCCUUGAGUGCCCUUCACAGACACACCCCUGUACCCGCCCCUAGCCUGCCCUGACAUCUGUCUGCAAAGCUGUUCUGUGUUGCUGACUGUCUCUUGCUCAAGGUGAAUUCUGAGUUUGGGUCAACGACUCCUGCAAGCCUCUGGCUCUAGCAGGCCUCCUGACCUCACCCACCCAGGGCCUCCUCUUGCUCUGGCCCAUCUGAAUGGGUCUGAAGCUGAGGCUUCUUUGGCUGCCCCCAAACUGCAGUUGCCCCUGCAGCUGGAUGUGUGGUCUUGAUUUUGUACCCCAGGGAGAACUGUGUGUUUAUAGCCUGCCAUUUCUGUGAGUUAAUUCCAGAGGCAAUUACUGUAUUGUCUGCCCUUGCCACAGCCCCUCAAUGGAGCAGCUCAUAGACCAUUUGAUCCCGUUCUUUAUCCAAUUGCUAAUUGGGCCAGAGGUGAAUACCUAAUCCAAGCCCAGAAGUGUGUGUCAUAUUUAAAAAGUUGGGCUGAGCCAAUUGAUUUUUCUCUCCAAGCUUUGGAAUUGGAAACUGAAAGAGACUGCUGCUAGUGUGUAGCACGAAGGUUAUGUAGACCUGGAGUUGGAGGACUUGGGGGUCUUGUACAAGCUGAUGUGCAAGCAGGAGAAAGCAGGUGUGAGAGAGAGCAGGGGGCGUGGAGCAGACCCACGGGGAAAAGGAGAGGCCGGGCAGGCCUGGGAGCCAGAGGCCAGUUCUCCAAUUCCUGAGGCCUGGCUCUCCUCAGUUUUCUGUCACAGGUUCUGUGAGAUCUCUGUGAAGCCCUACAAUAAAUGCCUCCUAUUGAAGCUAGCUCAAGGUGGUGGAGGUUCUUCUCCAUACAGCCAAGAAUCUUGGUGGAAACAGAACCCAAGGUAGCUGCAGCCCUUGGAGAGCACCCGAGCAUAGUGAGCAGUGUGUCUGCAGAGGCAAGGAUGGCAUCGCCAGCACACCAGGGAGGCUGACUCCAGAGGGGCUUGUUUCACAAAGCCUUUGCAGCACCCCUUGGGUCACGGGCCACCAGGCACAGCGAGAUUCAAAAAGAGAGGGAUGUCAGGGGCAGAAUUCCAGUAAUUAGUUGAGAUUGCUAUAGAUAGAUAGGCUGAUAGGAGUGAGGGAGAUCCUUUCAGGUUGGGACAGUAUGAGGAAAUUCCUACUCACAAGUAGGAAUACAGUCAUUCACCAUUGUUAGUGCUGUUCUCAAUUAUAAUUAUUAUAUGAGCUUACAUGCAGUCAAGCCGACUUCCUCUCCCUGGGAAAACAUGUAUAGAUUAGUGACACUACCAUCACUUGCAGGGCACAGAGGAGCCUGUCAGCCCCAAAACUCCCUGUGCCCCUUUGCUUUGUAAUCCCACUCCCCCACCUCUGGUGCCUGGUGAUUACUGACUGUCCUCUCUCACUGUGUUUUACCUUUUCCAGAAGGUUGCAUAAAUGGAGUCAUGCACUGUGUCAUCUUCUGAGAUGGUCUUUUCACUCAGUGUGAUGCCUUUGAGAUUCAUCCAUAUUGUUUAUUGUUGUUGUUAUUGCUAAAUAGUAUCCCUUUGUAUGGAUAAACUGCAAUCUGUUUAUCCACUCAACAUUGUUUCCAGUGUUUGGUAAUUAGGAAAAGAGAAGUUAUACUUUUUAUGUACGGGAUUUUGUGUGAACAUACUUUUUCAUUUUCUCACAUUGAAUACCUAGGAACCGGACUGCUGAGUUAUACGGUGAGUGUCGGUUUAGCUUUGUAUGAAACUGCAGGCUUUUUGUAGAGUGGCUACAUGAUUUCACAUCUCCACCAGCAGUGAAUGAAAGUUCCAGCUGACCCACAUCAUCAGGAACACUUGACUUUGUCUACUUUUUUCUUAGCCAUUUUGAUAGGGUUACAGUGGUAUCUCUAUCUCAUUGUGGUUUAAAUUUGCAUUUUCCUAGAAGCUGAUAAUGUCAUCUUUUUAUGUGCAUAUUUGCCAUAUGAAUAAUUUCUUUGGUGAUGUGUCUCAUUUUUUUUUGCCCUUUAAGAAAAAUGGAUGCUUUGCUUCAUACUGUUGAGAUUUGAGCUUCUGUAUAUUUUUCUGAAUGUAAGUCUUGUGUUGAGUAUGUGAGUUGCAAGUAUUUUCUUCCAGUCUUGUCUUUUGUUUUCUGUUGCUCCAUUUAUUGUUCACUGUCUCUCCCUCUGUUUAUCCUUGGUAAUUUUUUCUAUCCUGAUGUUUACUAAAGCCUCUCUAGCUUUCUUAUGAUCGGUAUUUGUAUAGUAUGUCUCUUCUUAUUCUUUAUCUUUUAAAAUAUACUUUUUAUUUUGGAAUAAUUUUGUGUAUUCAGAGAGCUCUCCUAUAUCCUUCACCCAUUUCCCUCUGAUGUUAACAUCUUACAUUAUUAUGAUAUGUUUGUCAAAACUAAGAAAUUAACACUGGCACAAUACUAUGAACCAAUACAGACUUUAAUUUGGAUACACCAAUUUCUUCACUAAAGAUUUUUUUUGUCCUCUAGGAUCCAAUUCAGGAUUUCUUAUUACAUGUAGUUAUCAUGUGUCAGGGAUGGGCUCAUUGGCCCACACCUGUAACCCCAGCACACUGGUGGACUAAGGUGGGAGGAUCACUUGAGCCCAGGAGGUCACGAUCAGCCUGGGCAAGCAGUGAGACACUGAUUCUACGAAAAAUAAAAAUAAAAAAAUUAGCUGGGUGUGUGGCACAUGCCUGCAGUCCCCACUACUUUGGAGGCUAAUGUGGGAGGAUUGCUUGAGUCUAGGAGGCUGAAGCUGCAGUGAGUCGUGAUUGUGCCAUGGCAUUCCACCCUGAGUGACAGAGCAAAAUCACAUCCCUAAAAAAGUAAAUAAAUGAAAAUUUUAAAAAUUAGAAAGUUGUUAUCUCCUCUGAUUUCUAACACUUUCUCUGGCUUUCCUUGUUUUUCCUGACUUCGGCAAUUUUGGUGAGUACUGGUCAGGUAUUUUGUAAAAUCUCCCUCAAUCUGGGUUGUCUGACACUUUCUUAUGAUAGACUAGGGUUGCACAGGUAAAGUGCCCUCCUCAUUGUAUCAUCUCAGGGGAUACUGGAUACCAACAUAACUGCUGACAUUAACCUUGAUCACUUGGUUACAGACUUGUCUGCCACAUUUCUCUUCUGUUAAGUUACUGUUUUAUGUUUCCGUUCUGUAUUCUGUUUUUUGGAAGUGAGUCACUAAAUCCAGCCCACACUUGGGGGUGGGGGAAGGAAAUUGAGCUCCACCUCCCAGAGUGGGAAGCCACUCCUCCUACCAGGAUUAGAAGACUUUUCCUAGAGCUUCUAUUUUCACCCAGUGCAUGGUUCUAGAUUUCAGGCCACCUUUGAGUCAAGGGCGCAAUGGGGGAAUCCUGGAGGAAAAAUCAACAGGAAACUCACCAACAGUCUGCUGUUACAUGUUGCCUUUGCAGAUUCACCCACUAUCAUUUGCUUUUUCGCUGCUCUAUGAUUUCUUUGCAGGGUUUUCAGUUGCUUUUAGUAGGAGCAAUACAGAGUGGAGGGUGCAUAUACCAUCUUGAUUGGAACCAGAAACUCUUCAUUUAUUUUUUAUUCUCCAAUUACAUCACUUACUCCCAUUCGCUCAUUCACAUAGCCCUCAUCCUUGUAUGCAUUGUUAUAUAUUUGCUCAUAAAAUCAUAUAUAUGUCAAUCAAUACCCCUAAUUUGACCACUUAAUCAGGUGUUAUGCUAGUCACUGCAGAUACAGACAUGAAAUAUAGUUCCUAUCUCAAAAAAAAUUUUGGACUAGAAGGAAAACAGAUGAAUUAUUAGAUAUAAAUACAGUGGAAUGGCUGCUACGCUAUAAGGACCAACUACCUUAAAUGAGGAGAUCUGUAAGAAAACAGCCUGGCUUCAGAAGUUGUUCCUUUUGGGGACAAUUCUAUGUGGGGUAGGCAAACAUUUCACUUUGGGAGGACAGCAUGCACUGAGGCACUGGAUCAGGACAUCAAGGGGGCAUGUUUGAAGAAGUGGUGUCUUACCACCAACCUAGGCAUUCCUGAGAUUUCAGGACAGGGGUGUGACUGAAAACAACCCUAGAGUAGAGCACAAGGACUCCUCCAAGGCCAUCCUGAGUUUAGAAAAUUUACAUUUGGUGGUUGGUCUCUCCUAUCCUAUUCUCACCCAUCAUGGGAGGUUCCAUCUACUUGGUUUUCUAUUAUUUGCAAUAGUGUAGGCUUUGUUUCUAAGACUCUGGCCAGUUUUUCAGAGGAGAUGCACAGCAUCUAUAAAGGGUAGAAAGGCAGCAGAGCCUGACUUUGCAGCUGCAUCCAAAAAAGGGUGUGGGUAACCUGGCUACCACCCAUGUUCAAGUCCAAGAGGACCCAAGUCCUGAGAUAGACCAGCUAUCCCCAUCUGUCUCUUUUCUACUCGAUUCCAACCCCUGGGGGGCUAAGAUUCAUUCCCAUGAUAUGUGCAGGUCCUGCAGUCUCUCUGGUCCUUCCUGUAUGCUUGGCCAAUUCAUUCAUUCAUGCACUCAUGGAUGUAUCCAAAUGUAUUCCACUCGUCUUCUAUGCCAGACCUUAGUUUGAUCAUCCCUUUCCUAUGAAAAUUUUGUUUUGUCUUCUAUGCCAUUUCCAUUUUCUUCUACCUCUAUAACCAUUGCUUCCUCUUUCUUUUGGUAGAUUCUAUUUCUUUCUCUACUCUAGAAACAUGGAUGGAUCACCUUUGAACUGUUCUCAUAAUCUGCAGUAUUCCCACAUUCUUUACCCUGCUGUCCUCAUCGCUGAGGCAGCUGUGCAGUCCAGUGCUGAGAUAGGGAAGGAAUGCAGGAGUGUUACUCAGUCACUUAGUCUGCCUGCCUGAUCCUCUAUUCUAGUAGCUGGGAUUUCCCCCUUAUUUCCAAGACAUCAAUGGGAUCCCUAGUUAUAGUCAUUUCUUGUGCUUGUGCUCCCUGUCCCAAAAUUUCUCCCUUGAAAAUGUGUUGGGCCCUUGCUGCUCCUAGCCUUUUGUUUCCUCAUAUAAUUGGAGCUCCUUCAUUUGCAAACUCAACACCAGGGCCAGCCCCACCUCUUGGAGCACAGAUCUGGUUCAGCCCUCAUUGCAUGCUUCAGUUUAAAGAGAAAAGCAUGAACUUGGGGUCAGAUUCAUCUGUGCUGCAAUCCAAAAUUGUGUGGGGCAAGUUGUGCAACUCUUUGAUCUCAGUUUUCUCAUUGUAAAAUUCAUCACGGGCAAAAAUUCUGUCAUCAACCUUGUUAACAAAACCCUAUUUUUAUAUAGAUAUCAAGUAAUCACAAACUUGAUAUUGGGAGGAGGUUGAAGCCCCCAGUGGGUUGAUCUUGAUCCAAGCCAAUCAUGGUAAUUCCUUUCCUUUGCCAACAACUGCUUUAGGAAUGUGCAUGUGUUGAAAUUCUGGCCAAUGAGGCAUGAGCCGUAUGUUUGCUGGGAGACAUAGGGAAAAUAUUUCUGCAAAAGAAAAAGGAGCCUCAGGGGAAGAAACACAUACUUUUCUGCUCCAGAAUGUUGUUAUCUUAUGUGAUGCCCAGAGCUGUAGUAGCCAUUGCAUGAGGCUGCCUGUGGCAGACCAAAAGGACGUGCCAUAGCCCCAGGGGAGUGGCAGGGAAGAAUAAUGAGAAAACCUAGGUCUGGAUAACAUUGUUAAGUCCCUUACCCCUGAAACUCUGCCUCCUCCAGUCUUCUUAUUGCACAAGACCUUUUUUGUUUGUUUUUAAGUCAUUUUCAGUUGAGUUAAUGCUACUCACAGCCCAAACAAUGUUCAAAUAAGAGACUUUCUGCUCAUCUUUUAGGUUUCAGUCCAAAUGUCAUCUCCUCAAGAAAGUCUUCCCUGAUUGUCCAUCCGAAGUCAUAUUGUUCUGUCAUACAUUUGCCAUCAACACUAGGUAUCUUUCCUUCUUUUCUUUCAUAGCACUUAUGAGCAUUUGUUUAUUUGGUUAUUCACACUCUCUCUCACUAAUCUACAAUCGCUGGGGAGGCUGGCAGUGUUUUAUUUUUUAUUUUGUUUAUUUAUUUAUUGCUGACCACUGUGUCUCUUGUGGCUAGAAUAGCGCCCAACAUAUAAUAGAUUCAUAAUAUUUGUUAAAUAAAAAAAUGAAAAUGAAUACAUGAAUAUCAGUAGAAGAAAACCUGGUACAAAGCAGGAAAGUUUGUCUUUGUGUCCUUUCUGAGACUGAAAGUUGAUCAGCUCUUUCCUUUUUUUAUCUUGACAAAUGACUUUGUACCCAAUCAUUGGCUGAUAUAUUUCAAAACAACUUUAAAUUUACUUUGAAAUGCACCAUUAUUUCAUCCCCUCAGGAGCCGGUGCUAUUCCCGCCACCCCUUGCUACUAUUCUUUUAGCAUUCAGGACAGCCAAGCAAACCCCUUCUUUGAUUUUUCUUCCUCUGCAGGCUCUAGGUGACUGAUUAGUCAUUACUUGUGAAUAAUGGCCAGGGAGGUUGCUGAGCCAUGGAGGAAUCUGGCCACCUCGCCACUGAGCACUCAGCUCUCAGCUAGUAAGAUAACAGCAAUUUUGCCACCAACACCAUCCUAAUAGGAUGUCCAAAGAGUUUCCUUCCACUGUUCAGUAGGGAUCAUGGGGAUCAUGAACGGAAGGUGAUAUGAGGUUUUAGGGAAGAAUAAACUGGAACAGCUUGUCAUCCCUCAGGAAUAUUUUGAAAACAAGUCAGCACACGAUGGUAAUUUAUUUUUAUGAUGCAUUAGUUUGCCUUGGAGGGAGAAAUUAUGGGAGUUUGGAGAGUUAGAGCUUACAGGGAGAGAGGCAGAGCUUAUCUUUAGUUCUCUCUUAUCCAUUGACAAGGAACAACAAGGAUGGCAUUAGUAACAAUAAUAAUUAUUACAGGCUCAAAGGAAAUAGAGUUGGCAGAGAGUACACAUGGUUAGUUAUCUAGUCCGCCAUUUCUCAGAAGAUGUUUAAGAGAGCACAAGUCUCUCAAAUGCCCUUUGCUAAAAGGGUUCAUGGUUAAAUUACUGUUCUUGGAGAACAGCGUGUACUUACUGGUCCACCACCCCACCCCCAGCCCUUUUGACUGUAUUUUGCUCAGUAAAUAAGAAGGUCCCUGCAUUAUAAAUAAAUCAAUUGACUUUGUCUAACCCAGUGUUCUGGUGUUCAUUUCACCAUGGAAACCCUUAUUUUAAAAAUUAAUAUUAAAGCUUCUGGAAGGAAGAUAUUUUAGGAAAUGCUGAUGUGAGCAAAGGUGGUUACUAGGUAUUCUUAUCUAAUAUUUACUGAGAAAUUUAUUCAUUCAUUUAUUCAUUAGAGAAAGAUAUAUUGAGAGACUACUUUGUAUGAUGUCAUGGGCUGGGAGCAAAGGAUACAGAUUUGGCCAAUGCCUACAUGAAGCUAAUAGUCUAGUGGACAAGACAAAAUCAAUUUCUCGAUUAAUUUAUUUAUUAUUACCGUGGUGAGCCUAUAAUGAGGAGCAUCAGAUAUAUAUAAAUUGAAAUAAUGAUAGAAAAGAGAUGUUUAUGGGUAACCAGGGAAGCCGUCCUGGUUUGUUCAGGACUGGGGAUAUCCUUUGAUGGGUGACUUUCAGUUCUAAAAUUGAGACAGUCCUGGGCAAAUCAGAAUGGUUGCUUAUCCUAAUAGACCAUGAUUUCUGGGGUGCCAUCUGAAAACCUUAUUAUGGCCGAGAGAUCUCUGCCAUGCUGGAGACCUGUUUUCUGGGAUUGCUUCACCUCCCUGAGCGUGACUUUCUGUUUCUGAGCAAUGGAGGUGAUGAUGUCUCCUUUCUCUGUUUAUUUAUUUAUUUUUUUGAGAUAGAGUCUCGUUCUGUCACCCAGGCUGGAGUGCAGUGGUACAAUCUCGGCUCAUUGCAUCCCUCCGCCUCCCCAGUUCAAGUGAUUCUCCUGUCUCAGCCUCUCUAGUAGCUGGAACUACAGCUAUGCACCACCAAGCCCAGCUAAUUUUUUUGUAUUUUUGGUAGAGAUGGGGUUUCACUGUGUUAGCCAAGACAGUCUUGAUCUCUUGACCUCAUGAUCCAGCCACCUCAACCUCCCAAAGUGCUGGGAUUACAAGCGAGGGCCACCACGCCCGGCCUCUAUUCUUAUGGUUUUUUGGGAAUAACAAGUGGAGUGAUUCCUGUGGAAAGCCUUUGCCAGAUAUAACAUGCUUCCUAAGUACAAGGGGUGAGUAUUCCUUUAGGGAAACUGUAGUUUGUCACUCCCUGAAGGAAAGUCCCUAUUUCUCCAGGAGAGGUUUUUCAGAGAGCAUCUCUUGCCACACAUUCAGGUUUCUAAAUCCUCCAGCAAGAAGCAUUUUUCACAGAUGCAAGAACAGGAGCGCCUGCACAAGUUUACUAUGGGAGGUGUAAAUCACGGAGGGGAGCCAGUGGGGUACUUCAGGACAGCACUUCCUCUAGGCCAGAGAAGGCCUCAGCCCAAGAGCAGCUUCCUGCUGGUGCUGGUGGGGCCAGAGGGCAGUGCCCGGUCUCUGCAGAACCAAAGAGCAGGCUUGCAGUGGGCUUGUAUACUCAGGCGUGUCUCAUGACCUGCUGGAGUUUCAAUGUCUUCAUCUGUAAGGUGGGAAUAUUGAUAUUUAUUUCCUCCAAUUAUUGGGAACUUAAUACUACUGCUAGUAAUAUAGUCAGAAUUUAAUGAAUUUACCAUGCACAAGAAAUUAUGCCAUGUGUUUACAUUGAAUCACUACAAAAAGUAGAUUUGAUUUUCUUCCAUCUGACGAGUGUAAACAAUAGGGCUUAGAGAAGUUAAGAGGCUUGCCAAGGUAGGGUGGCCAACGGUCAUAGUUUGCCCAGAACCAAAAGUCCCAUAUUGUGGGCGAUCCCUUAGCCCCAGGGAACCUGAGAUGGUUGAUCAAGCUAGAAAUUCAUACAGUUAGCAAGUAGUGGAGCUGAUAUACAUUUGAGGUAGAAGAUUACUUGUUGAAAUUGUAACCAACAACCAACAACAAUUAUUAUUGCCAUUUUAUUAAUAUGUAUUUAUCAUAUACCUAUAUAUAACAUAUACAUAAGAAGCAUCAUAUUAUUCACAUAGGAACAUUCAUUAUUUGAUGAACUGCCAUUUCAGUAUAAACAAAGUGCUUCUAGCCUUCUAAGAAAACCCCUUUCUAUUAAUAAUGCUCAUCUGACAUUAGUGCUGCUCAUCAGUAGUUAUGCUUUUCUUCUUUCUGUGCCCAGAUCCUUUGAUGUCAGGCAUGACCAGGUGAUUUGUUUUGACCAAUGAAAUGUGAGUGCAAGAGAUGUGCAUCACUUCGGGGCAGAAACCUGUAAGAACCAGGGUGCAAUUCUUUAUCUUCCUUGCAGUAAAUGCUGAUGGUGCCUCUCCCAUAUCAUUUUUGCUGGCUGAGACACACUCCUCAGCUGCUGUGAGAGUUGAGGUGCUAGCAGAUCACAGCUGUCUGUGCUCAGUAGGGUUAAGAGCACCAAAUCCAGGGUCAGACCAUCUAGUUCAAGUCCAGCUCUGACAUGAAAAGCUGUGUGCCCCUGGGCAAGUUGCUUGACAUCUCUGAGCCUUAAUUUUCCUAUCUCUGUAAGGGAGAAUUCCUACCUCAUGCUGUUAAUGUGAGGAUUAUGUGAAUAAUGCUUGUGAGACUCUUGUAACAGUUGAGCACAUAGUAAGCUCUGAGGUUGGCUAUUCUUAUUUCUCCUGCUCUACUUGUUCUCUGGUGUCAUAUGACAGUGCAUGCCAAGGUUCGUCAUAUGUUGCUCAAAAGAUAAUUUUGAUUAACAUGUGAAGAACCAAAUUCCAGAGAUGCUGAGCAAUUUCUUCAGCAUCACACGAGGCUUAAUACUGGAGUUUGAAUAAGAACCAAGACAGGACAAUGAUAGUAAUGACAACAAGUGAGCAAUUACUAUUCACUAGGCACUGAGCUGGACAUUAUUAUUAUCUUCAUUUUAUAGAUGUGGAAAUAGAGGCAAAAAAAGGUGAAAUAAAGUUUUACAGUUAGUAGGUAAUGGCAGAAUUAGAAAAAAUAGAAAUUUGAUAUUUUAGGAUGAACUAUUAUUUAGCAACAAAAAUGGGAACUGUAAUUACUAUGUUUAAACAAUGUGCUGUUGAUUAGUUUCUUUUUAGAAGAGUAAACAUGAUUGCUAAUUUAUAUACACAUGUAUUACAUACAAUGUACACUAUUUUAUACUUUGCUCUUUAUAAAGUGACCUUUUAAUUUUAAGAAUACCUACAUUUACAGAAAGGUUGCAAAGAUAGUACAGGAGUUCCCACCUACCCUCUGCCUGACUUUCUCCAAGAUUAAUGUCUUAUAUUACAAGGGUACACUUGUCAAAACCAUGAAAUUAACAUUGUUACAUUACUAUUAACUAAAAUCCAUACCUUAUUUGGAUUUCACCGGUUUUUCUACUAAUGCUCUUUGUCUAUUCCAGGGUCUCGUCCAAAGAGUACCAAAUACUAAUUGAACAAAAAGCCUUGGUGAUGAUCUAAAUGUUUGUUUGCUAAUAGAAUAAAGAUUUGAUAUUAGGGCAGUAUGACUAUAGCUGAUAUUUUUCCUAUGUUUAAAGCUUUAACACUCUUGUUACGUUAACUAUUUAGGAGAUGUUAUUACUGGAAGCCUCCUACACUGUGAGAGGCUGGUGUUGUCCAACUCAAACCAAGUUGUGGACUAGAAGGGUCCUUAAAUUAUCUACUGGACCCAUGGCAUGAGAGAAAAGCAUGUGUGAGUAUGUGUUUAGUAGAGCAGGUGAUGGGGGAGCUGAUCCACCAUUUGUCACUAAGGAGGAGCAGGAAGAGGCAGGGGCUGGAUGUACCUAAAUUUUGCCCUGUAGGUCUGUAAUCCAGUAAUCGGUAAAUCGGGAAGUGACUUCAAAGAUUUCUUCAAAAUUGGCUUCUACUGUUUUUAGAACAAACAUUAAUUAAGCACCUACAGUUUGACAGGCUCUCUGUUGGCUGCUAACAUAUACUGUCUCCUAGAAUCCUCAAACUAAGAUAUCUAUAUUACUUUUUUAUUUUAUUUUAUUUAUUUUUGAGACAGGGUCUCAACUCUCUUGCCCAGGCUGGAGCGCAGUGGCAUGAACACAGCUUACUGCAGCCUCAACCUCCUGGGCUACAGUGAUCCUCCUGUCUCAGCCUCCCAAAGUGUUGGGAUUACAGGAGUGAGACACAAUUCCAGGCCCAUAUUUCCAUUUUAAAGAUCAAAGAGAGGUCAGAAAGGAUAGGUGACUUGCCCAAAGACGCACAGCUUGUCAGUGACAAAACAAGGAUUAAAACCUGGGUUUUUCUGAGCUUAUUAUUUUUUUUAAUAUUCCAAAUUAUACUCCUUUGACAUCUCAAAAAAAGUCUUUUUGGAAUUUGACAUCAAAGGGACGUCCUAGCAUUCUACUGGGUAUUUGACUGAGAUGCCUGAAGGGAUACCUAGAGAAAGAAUAAGAAGGUUUCAAGAGGCACAGUGAAGUUUUGCAGGAGGAUGUUUGUUUGCAGAGCUGAUGUAGAUUUGAGUCUCUCGCUGCUCUCUCCCUCAGCUGAGCAAUAAUAAGAAAUCUUGUGUCAGCCCUUGGUUAAAACCAGCAUUCUGGAGGCUUUGGAGGGGGGCCAGCAGGUGCAUGAAUGAGCAAGCAGGGCCCAGUCAGCCUCCAGGUCCAUCCAGGGGUUCCCUUGGGACUGGCCAAGUUGAGUUUCCUGGGUCAGACACUUGGGAAACCUCCAACAUGGGUUUGCGGGUUCACACAUGCAUACAUGCACAUGCAUGCACAUUCACACACAUGUACAUGCACACACAUGCACAAUAAAUAAAGUAGAAUAAAAAAGCUGGAGGCACCCCAGUGUGCCCUAUUUACAAACCGCUUAGUUCCUUCCGGGUGUUAUUUGAUUUUCUCCUUCACUGAGAAAUGCGGAGACAUCAGAAUGAGUGAUGUGCCAGAGAGAGGCCUCCCGACCAUCCCUCAGCCUCCCUCACCCCCUCGGUCUCUUUCAUGUGACAGGAUGCCCUCAAUUACUCUCUCUGGGGGGGUCCCAGUCAGAAAGAAGAUGGAGCCAACCAUCUGUUACCGACUCCAGUGAGCAAUUUAAUUUCCUCUUGUUCCCAAUGAGGAGGAUUUUGUAAGUACAUAAAUUACCGUCAGUCCUGCUUAAUCAGGAACUGGCCAUCUAAAGGGGUGGAGACAGUCAAGCCAGAGACACCCACUGACCGGGACCUACCAGGAGGACAUCUUGCACGUUAGUAGAAAAACCAUAUGAGAGAAAUGCCAGACACAGAAACUUCCUUAGAGAUCAUCCAAUCUGAUACCUCUUUUAUAACUGAGGAAAUCAGAGCCAGAAAAACAACCUAUCUAGCUGGGCAAGGCAGAAUUAGGACUUGAACGAAAGAGCCCCAAUUCCUAAAUUCACUCUUUCCAACACAACACAAGGGUAGAAUGAAUGACUUUAUUACUUGACCUUGGGUUUAAUCUCUAGAGGUAGAAUAAGAAAACAAUAGUCAUGAUGGCAAUUGACAACCGCAAGAG